AGUUCUCCGGCCUGGCGGCAGGCAAGUCUAGCUCGGCGCUGUCGGAUACUUGGGGUGAGCGGAAAGCAUGGCGGGGACCUCCGCGCCAGGCAGCAAGAGGCGGAGCGAGCCCCCGGCGCCUCGCCCCGGCCCGCCGCCGGGCACCGGGCACCCCCCGAGCAAGCGGGCCCGGGGCUUCUCCGCAGCCGCUGCCCCGGACCCUGACGACCCGUUCGGCGCGCAUGGGGACUUCACUGCCGACGACCUGGAGGAGCUUGACACCCUCGCGUCACAGGCCCUGAGCCAAUGUCCGGCCGCGGCUCGGGACGUGUCCAGUGAUCAUAAGGUCCACAGAUUAUUAGAUGGCAUGUCAAAAAAUCCUUCAGGGAAAAACAGAGAAACUGUUCCAAUUAAAGAUAAUUUCGAAUUAGAGGUACUUCAGGCACAAUACAAAGAACUUAAAGAAAAGAUGAAAGUAAUGGAAGAAGAAGUUCUCAUUAAGAAUGGAGAAAUUAAAAUUUUGCGAGACUCACUACAUCAGACGGAAUCCGUUCUAGAGGAACAGAGAAGAUCACAUUUUCUUCUUGAGCAAGAGAAAACCCAAGCACUCAGUGACAAGGAAAAGGAAUUCUCCAAAAAGCUCCAAUCAUUGCAGUCUGAACUCCAGUUUAAAGAUGCAGAGAUGAAUGAAUUAAGGACAAAGCUCCAGACCAGUGAACGAGCAAAUAAACUGGCUGCUCCCUCUGUUUCCCAUGUCAGUCCUAGGAAAAACCCUUCUGUGGUUAUAAAGCCAGAAGCAUGUUCUCCACAAUUUGGAAAAACAUCUUUUCCUACAAAGGAGUCUUUUAGUGCUAACAUGUCCCUUCCCCACCCCUGCCAGACGGAGUCAGGAUACAAGCCUCUGGUGGGCAGAGAGGAUAGUAAGCCCCACAGUCUGAGAGGUGACUCCAUAAAACAAGAAGAGGCCCAGAAAAGCUUUGUUGACAGCUGGAGACAGAGAUCAAACACUCAAGGUUCCAUUUUGAUAAACCUGCUCCUGAAGCAGCCUUUGAUCCCAGGGUCAUCCCUAAGCCUUUGCCACCUCCUGAGUAGUAGUUCUGAGUCUCCUGCUGGCACCCCCCUGCAGCCACCAGGGUUUGGCAGUACCUUGGCUGGAAUGUCAGGCCUCAGGACCACAGGUUCUUAUGAUGGGUCAUUUUCCCUCUCAGCCCUGAGAGAAGCACAGAACCUGGCAUUCACUGGACUGAAUCUGGUUGCCCGGAAUGAGUGCUCACGUGAUGGAGACCCAGCAGAGGGAGGCAGAAGGGCCUUCCCACUCUGCCAGCUUCCUGGAGCCGUGCAUUUCCUCCCCCUUGUACAGUUCUUCAUCGGCUUACACUGCCAGGCCCUGCAGGACUUGGCAGCUGCUAAGAGAAGCGGAGCACCUGGGGACUCACCGACACAUUCCUCCUGCGUGAGCUCUGGGGUAGAGACCAACCCUGAGGACUCAGUGUGCAUCCUGGAAGGCUUCUCUGUGACUGCACUUAGCAUUCUUCAGCACCUGGUGUGCCACAGCGGAGCAGUCGUCUCCCUAUUACUGUCAGGAGUGGGGGCAGAUUCUGCUGCUGGGGAAGGAAACAGGAGCCUGGUUCACAGGCUUAGUGAUGGAGAUAUGACCUCAGCCCUAAGGGGGGUUGCUGAUGACCAAGGACAGCACCCACUGUUGAAGAUGCUUCUUCACCUGUUGGCUUUCUCUUCUGCAGCAACAGGUCACCUUCAAGCCAGUGUCCUGACCCAGUGCCUUAAGGUUUUGGUGAAAUUAGCCGAAAACACUUCCUGUGAUUUCUUGCCCAGAGCCGCAAGAUUGGGGAGAACUGUGAACACAACCAGCCCACCCCCUCAUCCAGUAAUCCAGUCUCCCUCAGCACUCUACCAAAGGGUUCCAGUGUGUGUUCCAAGUGCUGCCAAAGUGCCUCAGCCCAGAGACACCCCUGCCUAGCGUGCUGCUGGCUGUUGAGCUCCUCUCCCUGCUGGCGGACCACGACCAGCUGGCACCUCAGCUCUGUUCCCACUCAGAAGGCUGCCUCCUGCUGCUGCUGUACAUGUACAUCACAUCACGGCCUGACAGAGUGGCCUUGGAGACACAAUGGCUCCAGCUGGAACAAGAGGUGGUGUGGCUCCUGGCUAAGCUUGGUGUGCAGAGCCCCUUGCCCCCAGUCACUGGCUCCAACUGCCAGUGUAAUGUGGAGGUGGUCAGAGCGCUCACGGUGAUGUUGCACAGACAGUGGCUGACAGUGCGGAGGGCAGGGGGACCCCCAAGGACCGACCAGCAGAGGCGGACAGUGCGCUGUCUGCGGGACACGGUGCUGCUGCUGCACGGCCUAUCGCAGAAGGACAAGCUCUUCAUGAUGCACUGCGUGGAGGUCCUGCAUCAGUUUGACCAGGUGAUGCCGGGGGUCAGCAUGCUCAUCCGAGGGCUUCCUGAUGUGACGGACUGUGAAGAGGCAGCCCUGGAUGACCUCUGUGCCGCGGAAACCGAUGUGGAAGACCCCGAGGUGGAGUGUGGCUGAGGCCCUGAGUGUCCAGCCACAUGGUGGCACCAGCACCACUCCUUUCCUUACCACAUCAACUGAUUAAAGCAGUGACCAGCAGGAACUGCCCAGAGAACUGGCUGGCCUUGUUUCCUGAGUCUGAUCUGUUUGGCGGAGUGGGAGGGGUGGAGCAGGACCCGGACCCUGAGUGGCUGGGAUCCUUCUUCCUGUCCCUGGCUGUUGCUGAGCCCGUCCCCAUGGUAACUGAUCUGCCUUGAGGAAGGAGCCCUGCCCUGCCUGUGGAAUUGUCCUGAGUCAUUGCUUUGGGCUGGGGCCAUGGGAAGAAACCAUUGUGUGGCAGGGAAGGAGGUGGCUCUUGGCCCAGGCCUAAACCAGGAAAGCCUGGGAAACUGGGACCCACAGGUGGGCAUGAAAGGGCCGCAGCAGGGGCUCCCAGCAGUGUGUAAGACCGGGAGCUGGUCUGGCACCACUGCCCUGGUCCUUCCAGCUGCCUGUCACUGGUAUGAUGGCCCCGGUGCAUUGUGCCACCAGCAGGCCACAGCUGUGGAUCUUGGAAGGCCUCUGGGGUCCCCCGGGAGCAGGGGAGUGGGUGUGGGGGGGAACGGAUGGUGGUGAGAGGGACAGACCAGGCAGGCUGACGAGCAGGGCGGGCCUGGCUCACGUGGGCCUGUAGGCGGGCCCACGCCAAGUUUCACUUCCCGCCACUGCUGCCAGCGAGAGCCGCGGGAGAGUGUGCAGCCGAGUCACUACUGCCUGCCUGCCUGCCUGCUACGGCUCAGCAGCAGGUACGUACCCAACCAUGGGCUCGCAGGCCCUGCCCCCGGGGCCCAUGCAGACCCUCAUCUUUUUCGACAUGGAGGCCACUGGCUUGCCCUUCUCCCAGCCCAAGGUCACGGAGCUGUGCCUGCUGGCUGUCCACAGAUGUGCCCUGGAGAGCCCCCCCACCUCUCAGGGGCCACCUCCCACAGUUCCUCCACCACCGCGUGUGGUAGACAAGCUCUCCCUGUGUGUGGCUCCGGGGAAGGCCUGCAGCCCUGCAGCCAGCGAGAUCACAGGUCUGAGCACAGCUGUGCUGGCAGCGCAUGGGCGUCAAUGUUUUGAUGACAACCUGGCCAACCUGCUCCUAGCCUUCCUGCGGCGCCAGCCACAGCCCUGGUGCCUGGUGGCACACAAUGGUGACCGCUACGACUUCCCCCUGCUCCAAGCAGAGCUGGCUAUGCUGGGCCUCACCAGUGCUCUGGAUGGUGCCUUCUGUGUGGAUAGCAUCACUGCGCUGAAGGCCCUGGAGCGAGCAAGCAGCCCCUCAGAACACGGCCCAAGGAAGAGCUAUAGCCUAGGCAGCAUCUACACUCGCCUGUAUGGGCAGUCCCCUCCAGACUCGCACACGGCUGAGGGUGAUGUCCUGGCCCUGCUCAGCAUCUGUCAGUGGAGACCACAGGCCCUGCUGCGGUGGGUGGAUGCUCACGCCAGGCCUUUCGGCACCAUCAGGCCCAUGUAUGGGGUCACAGCCUCUGCUAGGACCAAGCCAAGACCAUCUGCUGUCACAACCACUGCACACCUGGCCACAACCAGGAACACUAGUCCCAGCCUUGGAGAGAGCAGGGGUACCAAGGAUCUUCCUCCAGUGAAGGACCCUGGAGCCCUAUCCAGGGAGGGGCUGCUGGCCCCACUGGGUCUGCUGGCCAUCCUGACCUUGGCAGUAGCCACACUGUAUGGACUAUCCCUGGCCACACCUGGGGAGUAGGCCAAGAAGGAAAAUCUGACGAAUAAAGACCCCCGCUGCCCCAUAAAAAAAAAAAAAAAAAAAAAAAAAAAAAAAAAAAAAAA
rnacentral:lncRNA from 1 species